rnacentral:rRNA from 1 species
AUGUCCUCCAUCACGAUCUCGAAUGAAACUAUCCAUGGAAUCGUGCGCCGUGUGAAACGUAGAUCAUCGCCGUUCUUACCCGAGACUCAGGUUAAGCUCCGUCUCGGAACCGCCGUGGGGUUAGGAGACACUGAUUUGUUUACGAAACGCUCUUCAUUUUAUAGGAUCUCCCAGUCGUCAAAAAGGCCGUUCCUUCUUUUUAAAGACCAAUCAUUUAUUUAUUUAUGA